rnacentral:tRNA from 1 species
AAGUAAGAAGCGAAAACUUCGCAUUUAAUUUCGACUUAAAAAUUUGAUAAGCCCACUAUCCUUACUUU